rnacentral:rRNA from 1 species
ACGGAGGGUGCGAGCGUUGUUCGGAAUUACUGGGCGUAAAGGGCGUGUAGGCGGUUUCCUAAGUUCGGUGUGAAAGCCCGGGGCUCACCCCCGGAAGUGCAUCGGAUACUGGGCAACUCGAGUACCGGAGAGGAGGGUGGAAUUCCUGGUGUAGCGGUGAAAUGCGUAGAUAUCAGGAGGAACACCGGCGGCGAAGGCGGCCCUCUGGACGGAUACUGACGCUGAGACGCGAAAGCGUGGGGAGCAAACAGG